UCUAUAUAAUUGUAAAAUUUGGUAAGAUGUUCUCUGUAUAAAGUGAUGCAGCAAGUGUGGAAUCUCAUCGUUCUUCCGAUAGUUUUUUUUCCCACAUGGUUAUGGUUUAUUGUUUUUAAAUAUUAGGGUUUAUUAUUUUUGCCAUUAUAUUGCCGGUCUUUUUGAUAUUAGGGUUCACUUAUUAAUGGUGGUUUUGGGUUUGCAGGUAAUACACCCGAAAAAGUCAGGACUUUUUGGCUUUGCUGAAAACUAAUACCGGGCUAAUAAGAAAUAUUUCCAAGAUGACUUUUUUUUUGCACGAUAUUAUUAAAAACUAAUCACGGAAAUAUUGACAUGUUUGUUUUCGUUUUUAGACUUCUUUUUUUUCGUUGGUAUUUUGAUCAUUCGAUUGAUAAAAUCCUGGGUUUUUGUUCUUAAUGGAACUUUGAGUUCUUAUUUGACUUUAAUAUAGUGGUUUUUGAUUUGCAGGUGCUAACUGUGCUUCUGGGAUUCUAAUCGUAGCAAAUUAACAAUUGGUGAAACCAUAAAUAUAUCAGUUUUCGUAGCUAUAUGGAAAUUCCCUCAUGCUUUAUUUGCUCUGACAUGGAGUGUCGUUGCUUCUUUCUUUGAUCUGGCAGACAUGUUACAUCUUUACUGCUUUCUUCGAGCUGACGUUUAUUUUCCUUACUGUUGUUCUUGAUCUGAUAGGUAUUUUGUAAGUCGAUUGGUGGCUGGCGCAGUAAAUGUUCUUUCAAUGUAACGGUUACUUCACAAGCUAUUUAUCUCUCGGCUACUGUGAUCGAUUCAGUCCGAACUAAUUCUCUCAAAUUUGUCUGCAACAACAAGAAGUAAAAUGAUCCCAGUAAUCCCAUUACAAAUAAGAUUUGAAAUCACUGAUUGUUGUGGCCAUAGUUGCUUAUAAUAUCCCAAUUAUUGUCACAUGGUGCUUCAGAAGAACCAACACAUCAGGUGGCUAUAGUGUUUAUGUAUCUUUCUGUGUUGCUUCUUUAGGGGCUUGGUGCGCGUUUUUUUGGUAUCCCAAUUAUCUCCCGUUGUAACAUGGAGCUUUAAGAGAACCAGUACCAGGUGGUGAUGUUUUUAUAACUACGGUGGUAGAUACCAUUGCCGUAACAUGGCGUUUGAUAGAUCGAAGAUGGUGAUAUUUUUGCCAUCCGAUUGAUGCCCCAUGUAAAUAUUACACUAUAACACCAGUUAUAUAUAUUUAUUCUCAUUGGGAUUGUAGUUUCCAUUUAUUGUGUAGCUUUAGGUGAUGUGCAUGGUACAUGAUUCUUUGAAAACAAAAUAAUGUUUAAA